GGGAUUGCGGCCUGUGGCGGAGGCGCGGGGGAGGGGCGGGGAGGGCCCGCCCCCACCUCGCUCCCGGGCACCGAGUAAACAGGGACACCCGCGGGGACACGCUGGAGCUUGUCGGCGCGCCUCGGGCUCGGGGAUGGAGCCCACCUUAGUACCCGCCCCGCCCUGUUCGCCUGGCACCGGGCGCAGGGAGAGGCUGUGGUUUUAACAACCAUACAACAUUGCCUUGCCUAGAAUGUGGAGUCUCAGAUGAGCUCACACAAGGAGAGUGAUCUGUGAAGACAGAAGACUUGAGAAGGAGCACUCAGAGAGGGCCAGCUAUUUCACUCUCCAUUGAGAAGACGCACAACCUCCUGCUCAAGGGCAAUAGAGCUGGCACUAGACCAAAUGAAAUCAAAUCUUGGUCUUUUCACUUUGGUCCUGGGCAAGGUACCCAAGGUUUCUAAGCUAUAGUUUUCUUACCUGUAAGAUGAAAACUCUCAGCCCGAUCCAAUACAAUUUUCUGCGAUGAAGGGAGUGUCCCACGCCUGUGCCAGUAUAGUAGCCAGUCGCCAUCCAUAUGUGACAUGUGGCUAGUGUAUCUGAGGAAUGAAAACUUUUAAAUAAAAUUAAAUGGCUA